rnacentral:rRNA from 1 species
CAGUAGCCACGGGAAUACGAAGGGUGCAAGCGUUAAUCGGAAUUACUGGGCGUAAAGCGCACGCAGGCGGUCUGUCAAGUCAGAUGUGAAAUCCCCGGGCUUAACCUGGGAACUGCAUUUGAAACUGGCAGGCUAGAGUCUUGUAGAGGGGGGUAGAAUUCCAGGUGUAGCGGUGAAAUGCGUAGAGAUCUGGAGGAAUACCGGUGGCGAAGGCGGCCCCCUGGACAAAGACUGACGCUCAGGUGCGAAAGCGUGGGGAGCAAACAGGAUUAGAUACCCGCGUAGUCCCUGUCUCUUAUAC